GGUUAAUGACAAUUUUGAUUGUUUCCUCCCUCUCAAAUUUGCCUUCACUCUCUCAAUCUGCUUGUGUGUACACUCACAUACAGGUUGCUGAGGUUUACAUUAUCAUCCAGUGGGAAGGAUGUGUGAACAGAAGGUAGAAAUCUUGAGCUGAACUCAACAUAGCAACAACAUGAACUACAGAGAACUGGUUGCAGUGUCAUCAUGUUUCUGUUGCUUUGAAGCAGAAAGUUAUCCAGCAUUCACCUACAGACUUCACAAGACGAAGACUCCUUUGUGUAGCUUAUUCUCACAGCCACAUCUGUCUUCACUUGCACAACUUUAGCUUGCAGAUUUUGGUGUUAUGUCUUUUUAUUCUUCUUUUCAAGGGCAUUUUUAGGAUUAGGAAAGGAGUACCAUGCUACUCUCCUUUGUCUAGAAAAUGAGAACUGCACAGGCCUGUGUCCUGCUGCAUCUUCACGGGGAGCUGGAAACAGCUGGUGUGCAGGCAGAAAAUCAAUCCUUGACUUCCUCAGUCCUCCCUGUUUACAGGAAAAAAAGAGCAUAUAAACUGCUUUAAGGGCAAACAGUGGUAUUUGCUUCCUGAAGACCAUGGCCACA
rnacentral:lncRNA from 1 species